rnacentral:rRNA from 1 species
CCUACGGGUGGCAGCAGUGGGGAAUAUUGGGCAAUGGGCGCAAGCCUGACCCAGCAACGCCGCGUGAAGGAAGAAGGCUUUCGGGUUGUAAACUUCUUUUCUGAGGGACAAAGAAAGUGACGGUACCUCAGGAAUAAGCCACGGCUAACUACGUGCCAGCAGCCGCGGUAAUACGUAGGUGGCAAGCGUUAUCCGGAUUUAUUGGGUGUAAAGGGCGUGUAGGCGGGAAAGCAAGUCAGAUGUGAAAACUCAGGGCUCAACCCUGAGACUGCAGUUGAAACUGUUUUUCUUGAGUGCUGGAGAGGCAAUCGGAAUGCCGUGUGUAGCGGUGAAAUGCGUAGAUAUAAGGAAGAACACCAGUGGCGAAGGCAGAUUGCUGGACAGUAACUGACGCUGAGGCGCGAAAGCGUGGGGAGCAAACAGGAUUAGAUACCCCAGUAGUC